CUAACUUUGUUUCGUAACAGUCAGUAGUCCUUACAGUAAAUAAUUGAUGACACAUUAUUAUUUCCUUUCGAAUUAUUCUUGCAAAAACUAUCAUAAAACCUUAAUUUCACACGUUUAUUUAUUUCACAUCACAUGUUUUGACUUUAAAAAAAAACUAAAUAAAACAUUGUUUCGUAACAGUCAAUGACGCACUACACCACUUAAAUGAAAAAGGUAAAAAGUCAUAUCUGAUUGAAAAAAAAGGCAGUGGUACGUGUCAUUUAUCAUUUUUACAAGGCUAUUUAUAACAAUAAGUCGUGUUGUCCUCAGUUUAUAGGAAACAAUUGUUUUAAACUGACGUACUUUAGGGUUGAAACAAACAGACCACCAUCAAUUAAAAGUUUCUUUUGGAGUUAAUAAAGAAAGAGGAACAACUCUAAGUAAUACAUACUGUAUCAAUAAAAUUGAGAAUGGAAAUGGGGAAUGUGCCAAAGAGACAACAACCUGACCAUAGAGCAGACAACAGCAGAAGGCCACCAAUAGGUCUUCAAUGCAACGAGAAAUACUCGCACCCGGAGGCGUCCUUCAGCUGGUCCCUAAACAAAUAUAUACUAGUUCAGUGAUAAUAAACACCAUACUAAACUCCAAAUUGUACACAAGAAACUAAAAGUUAAAAUAAUACAAGACUAACAAAGGCCAGAGGCGGGGUUAAACAUGUUUGCGAGAUCUCAACCCUCCCCCUAUACCUCUAGCCAAUGCAGAAAAGUAAACGCAUAACAAUACGCACAUUAAAAUUCAGUUCAAGAAAAGUCCGAGUCUGAUGUCAGAAGAUGUAACCAAAGAAAAUAAACAAAAUGACAAUAUACAGAAAUAACAUCAGACUACUAGCAGUUAACUGACAUGCCAGCUCCAGACUUCAAUUAAACUGAUUGAAAAAAUAUGUCUUCAUCAUAUGAAUAUCAGGCACAAUCCUCUCCGUUAGGGGUCUAGUAUCAUACCAUCAUAACAUAUAUGAGAAGAACAUAACCCGUGUCAUGCCAACAACUGGUUUAUUAAUAAUAAAUGUGUUUAGUUCCGAUGCAAAGACCCUAUAAGUGAAUCAAUAUUAACGCCAAAAUAUGCAAUAUUUAAUGACCUGACAACAGUAUCGUAACUAUAUCCUUUCAAAGCAACUUUCUUUUUGACAAAUUUUUGAUAAACAGUUUUGUUGAUAAAAGCAUCUUAAGCAAAAUAAUCUUUUUAUUCCACAUAGUCGUCGUCGUCGUCGUUGUUGUUGUUGUUUGUCUGAUUAUGCGUUGUCUGAAAUCUUUUCAGUCCAAACUUUGCAGGAUUUUGGUUGACCUUG
rnacentral:lncRNA from 1 species